UAGGGUAGAACCAAAUAGUGCAGGU
rnacentral:piRNA from 1 species